AUUAGACAACACAUUAUGCUGCCAAUAUCUUCCCAGGUGGUAGUACCUCCAUGUUUGGUAGCUGCCUACUACCCAUGGUUCUGGGUUCCCAAUAAAUUUAUUUAUGAACAUGAUCUAGGAAUGUAACUUGGAAUACUGUACUGUACUGUAUGUCUUUCCAUAGUGUUUGCUGUUUUUAUUAUUAUCAUCUUGUAUUCCACCUGCAUCCCCGCAGAAGAUGAAGUAUUUUCAUCAUCCAAGAGGUUGUCCACUUGUAACACAGGAAGCAACAUCAAUAAUCAAAGCCCUCUUGAAACACCCCCAAGGAGGGGCAGAGCUGCAUCUCGGCUCGCUCACGAGAAAAUGAAAAGGGUACCUAUGACAACAAAAAAGACAAGAGGAACAUGUCAGGUUAUUUUCAAGGGAGACUCCUUUGAAAGCAGCUCCAGUUAUAAAGAAGAAGUAAAAGGAGCAGACUCUGGUCAUGGGGAAAAUUGUGAGUCUCAUUUUGAAGAGAUGGAAUAUGAAUCAACUGUUGAUCCUUGUGAAUCAGCUGUUAAUCCUUUAGCACUAGACACACCAAGUAAGAAGAAUGAUGGUGUAAAAUGUCUAAGUGUUAAAGUCAGUCUUGAAAGAUUAUCUCAUUUACACACAUCUCAAG